UUUCACCCUUUUCUUGAAAUGAUUAAUGAUCGACCUUAGGGUUGUUCGUUCGAUUUGCUUAACUCUCUUUUUAUUACUUUUAGGGUGCUAGGAGAGUCAUAGGCACCUUCGUCAGUGCAAACGAAGGGUGCAGGAAGUCUUGGCAUAUGGCGGGUCUGGACACGUACCGGGCGGGCUUCCGUUGGGUCUCGGAGUGUGACAGGAUCCCUAUAAUUUUUAAAUUGGAAAAUAGAAGCCUCAAAGGGUCGCACAUCAGUAUGUAUUGAUCUACUCAUUUUGAACUGUUGGCAUUUGGGGCCAAAUAUAAACCAAUUUAAUGUCUCCUCAGCAUUAUAUUUUAGGCCAACCUAUCUGAAGUCCAAAAGAACUUCUUCAAACACUUAAACUCUAGCCUAGGAGAUCACAUUCCAUCCAGGGCUUAUUUUACCACUUGCAUCAAAAAAGCAGAGUAAUGCAAAGUGCAACUAUACCACGUAGACUCAACAAAGUGCUGCAACAAUAUUAUGCAUAAUUUAUAUCUACAUCAAUCUAUAUCUUAUAGAGAAAAAUAUUUUCAUCAAAUAAUGUAAAUUGAAGAAAGAAGAUUGAUGUAGAUAUAGAUUACGCAUAAUAUUGUUGCAGCACUUUGUUGAGUCUGCGUGGUAUAGUUGCACUUUGCAUUACUCUGCUUUUUUUAUGCAAGUGGUAAAAUAAGCCCGGGAUGGAAUGUGAUCUCCUAGGCUAGAGUUUAAGUGUUUGAAGAAGCUCUUUUGGACUUCGGAUAGGUUGGCCUGAAAUAUAAUGCUGAGCAGACAUUAAAUUGGUUUAUAUUUGGCCCCAAAUGCCAACAGUUCAAAAUGAGUAGAUCAAUACAUACUGAUGUGCGACCCUUUGAGCCUUCUAUUUUCCAAUUUAAAAAUUCUAGGGAACUGUUUUGGUGCACCAAUUGGGACCUUUGAAAGCUUAUUCGACAUUGCUUCGAACCCUAUUUCCUUGACCCGAUCUCAGAUUUAAUUCCCUUUGUGGCUGUUAGAGG